rnacentral:lncRNA from 1 species
CAAAUUGUGUCUUUCAGAUGAGACCCACCCAUCGGAGCCAGGCUUUGAAGGAACUGACCGCAGUGUGCAUGAGGAAGUACUUCAAUGCCACACUUUUAAUGGCAGCAAUAAAAGGUGUUUCUAUCAAUGCCAGGUGGGCAGCCCUGACCAUCUAAAGCCUCGGAGAGGGUUAUACCAAGUCUCCUGUACACCUCUGUGCAAGUGACAACAUGUGGGGACCUCUCAUCCCAAAGUUUUGGGACAAAGUCUCCCGUCCCUUAUCACUUGUUUUCACUGAGGCUAAAUGUAUCUGUUCAGUACAUGGAUAGAUUUUUAAGCUCCUC